rnacentral:rRNA from 1 species
GACGAACGCUGGCGGCGUGCCUAACACAUGCAAGUCGAGCGAAGUGAGUACUACGGUACGAACUUAGCGGCGGACGGGUGAGUAACGCGUGGACAAUCUACCCUGUAGACUGGGAUAACACCUCGAAAGGGGUGCUAAUACCGGAUAAUGUCGAGAAGCGGAAUCGCUUUUCGAAGAAAGGAGAGAAUCCGCUAUAGGAGGAGUCCGCGUCCCAUUAGCUAGUUGGUGAGGGUAACGGCCCACCAAGGCGACGAUGGGUAACCGGCCUGAGAGGGUGAACGGCCACACUGGAACUGAGACACGGUCCAGACUCCUACGGGAGGCAGCAGUGGGGAAUAUUGUGCAAUGGGGGAAACCCUGACACAGCAACGCCGCGUGAGCGAAGAAGGCCUUCGGGUUGUAAAGCUCAAUAGUAUGGGAAGAUAAUGACGGUACCAUACGAAAGCCCCGGCUAACUACGUGCCAGCCGCCGCCGUAACAC